rnacentral:rRNA from 1 species
UCCUACGGGGGGCAGCAGUGGGGGAUAUUGGACAAUGGGGGAAACCCUGAUCCAGCGACGCCGCGUGAGUGAAGAAGUAUUUCGGUAUGUAAAGCUCUAUCAGCAGGGAAGAAAGAAAUGACGGUACCUGAGUAAGAAGCCCCGGCUAACUACGUGCCAGCAGCCGCGGUAAUACGUAGGGGGCAAGCGUUAUCCGGAAUUACUGGGUGUAAAGGGAGAGUAGGUGGCAGAGCAAGUCCGAAGUGAAAACCCAAAGCUCAACUAUGGGAAUGCUUUAGAAACUGCUCAGCUAGAGUGCAGGAGAG